rnacentral:misc_RNA from 1 species
GGAUGGAUGAGAUCCACCAGUUCCCAGUCAUUGUUCCAAAGGUAUCAGCUAUCUGAGCCUCGAAAUGGUUGGUUAUGAUGCAAAAUUCUUGAGGACAAGUGAAUUGAUUGGUGUAUGACAGGCAUUUUUUUAAUCAUUGUUAGAAUUAGGAUGAUGUUUAUUCAGUGGAUUGGAAUUGGUAUUUUUAACUGAUAUGUUCUGGCAUUUUUUCUGCUUUCAAUGUUAGCAUCAUCCUUGUGGUGCUAAC